UACGUAGGGGGCAAGCGUUGUCCGGAAUCAUUGGGCGUAAAGCGCGUGUAGGCGGUUCAGUAAGUCUGCUGUGAAAGUCCAGGGCUCAACCCUGGGAUGCCGGUGGAUACUGCUGGGCUAGAGUCCGGAAGAGGAGAGUGGAAUUCCUGGUGUAGCGGUGAAAUGCGCAGAUAUCAGGAGGAACACCAACAGCGAAGGCAGAUCUCUGGGACGUGACUGACGCUGAGACGCGAAAGCGUGGGGAGCAAACAGG
rnacentral:rRNA from 1 species